rnacentral:tRNA from 2 species
GGAGAGGUGGCUGAGUGGCUCAAAGCGUCCUCCUGCUAAGAGGAAACGGGUUUUUAAAGCCCGUCGCAGGUUCAAAUCCUGUCCUCUCCG